AAGUCGUAACAAGGUUUCCGUAGGUGAACCUGCGGAAGGAUCAUUAACGAAUACGUUUUGUCGGGAAGGGCUGCUGCUGGCCUCUCAGGAGGCAUGUGCACGCCCCGACCGCAAUCCAUCCCUCACACCUGUGCACAACCGUGGCUUCCCGGGAUGCUAACGGGGUCUGGUCUUCUGACCCGGCUCCGGAUGCUCGGGGUCGCGAACCUUUCACACACACACACACUUAUGUAUCAGAACGUAAAAGCUUGUAGCGCCGUAAAAAGCGUGAAUAAAUACAACUUUCAGCAACGGAUCUCUUGGCUCUC
rnacentral:misc_RNA from 1 species